rnacentral:rRNA from 1 species
AGUGAACGCUGGCGGUAGGCCUAACACAUGCAAGUCGAACGGCAGCACAGUAAGAGCUUGCUCUUACGGGUGGCGAGUGGCGGACGGGUGAGGAAUACAUCGGAAUCUACUUUUUCGUGGGGGAUAACGUAGGGGAACUUACGCUAAUACCGCAUACGACCUACGGGUGAAAGCAGGGGAUCUUCGGACCUUGCGCGAUUGAAUGAGCCGAUGUCGGAUUAGCUAGUUGGCGGGGUAAAGGCCCACCAAGGCGACGAUCCGUAGCUGGUCGGUGAGGAGGAUCGGCCACAUGGGAACGUAGACGCGGUCCAGACUCCUACGGGAGGCAGCAGUGUCGAAUAUUGGACAGUGGGCGCAAGCCUGGUCCAGCCAUACCGCGUGUGUGAAGAAGGCCUUCGGGUUGUAAAGCCCUUUUGUUGGGAGAGAAAAGCAGCAGGUUAAUACCCCGCUGUUCUGACGGUACCCAAAGAAUAAGCACCGGCUAACUUCGUG